GUGUUGUAUGGCUGUCGUCAGCUCGUGUCGUGAGAUGUUGGGUUAAGUCCCGCAACGAGCGCAACCCUCAUCCUUAGUUGCCAUCAGGUAAUGCUGAGUACUUUAAGGAAACUGCCAGUGAUAAGCUGGAGGAAGGUGGGGAUGAUGUCAAGUCAUCAUGGCCUUUAUGGAGUGGGCUACACACGUGCUACAAUGGUGUCUACAAUGGGCUGCAAGGUGCGCAAGCCUAAGCUAAUCCCUAAAAGACAUCUCAGUUCGGAUUGUACUCUGCAACUCGAGUACAUGAAGUUGGAAUCGCUAGUAAUCGUGGAUCAGCAUGCCACGGUGAAUACGUUCUCGGGUCUUGUACACACUGCCCGUCACGCCAUGGGAAUUGGUUUC
rnacentral:rRNA from 1 species